rnacentral:lncRNA from 1 species
GAUAUUCUUCUAUGUAUCUGGACAUUUGGGGUAUGAUGUUAGGAGACUCUAGAUCUAUUUUACAUCAUCUAUUUAGCAGGCAGUCAGCCAGGUUAGGUUUGGCAAAUGGGGCCUGGCCUAGUUUUGUGGGCUGUGGUUCAAAUGGCAUUUAGUUUUGAGAGCCCCUGCAGUGCUAUUUUGGUAUGAUUUCAUUUUAUGCUGCAUGGAGGCCACUCUAAAAACUUAGGUGGUAUUCUAAACUUUGGUUCAGUUAUAAAACUUUUUGGCAUAUUUUCCUCUAGUCGGUUUUAUAUGUGAGUUGGUCAGGGGUCUUCCUAGUAUUUUCCUUAUAGUUUAAACAAUUCCUUUAUUUGUUCAGCUCUUUCUUUCUGGGAUUUUAUUCUCCUUGUAUUUGGGCAGGUGGUGGGUACUGCCUCCCAUUCAUUUUGGGGUGAGAAGUGGCUAAAUUUAGACACCUUUUUCUGUUUUUGCUGUAAUCGCUGGCAAUGGAGCAAAGUGUUCCUGUGGGCUGACUUCUUACACUGACUGAAAGUCGAGGUCCAAAUUCCUCAUUUUGUCUCCACUGACAUCAUGGAGGGAAUAGAAACCCUCCCUAGGCCAUCUUAUAUUUGAUCCCUGAUUACAUGGUAUCAGAAACAAAAGAAUAUUUUAGUUCAUAUUCUGUUCCUAUAAUGGAAUAUUAUAGUCUGGGUAAUUUAUUAACAGAAGAGAUUUAUUUGACUCAUGGUUCUGGAGGCUGAGAAUUCCAAGAUCAUGGGGCUGAGGGCCUCCUUGUUGCAUCAUAAUAUGGUGGAAGGCAUUACAUGGUGAGAGAGUGAAUCAGAAAAAGAAAACUAGGUUGAACUCCUUCUUUCAUCAGGAGCCUAUUCCUGUGAUAAGUAACCCACUUCCACAAUUAUGAAAUUUCUCCAUUCACGAGGCAUCUGCACAUCUUCACAGAAGAUUAUCUGGAUCUGGAGAAGAGGUGGUUGUCUCUGGGAAAGAAGCAGAGAGGUGAGUGGCACAGAGGCUGUGGUGGGUGAACCUGAGGGUUUGUAUCAUCUCUUAGGCCUGAACACCAGUGCCUUCACCUCAACACAUGAAGGCCAUGCUCACCGAGCAGCAGAGGAGAAAGGGCAAAGGGGAGGGUGA